rnacentral:rRNA from 1 species
GAUGAACGCUGGCGGCGUGCCUAAUACAUGCAAGUCGAGCGAACAGAUCAUGAGCUUGCUCCUUUGACGUUAGCGGCGGACGGGUGAGUAACACGUGUGUAACCUACCUAUAAGUCUGGUAUAACUCCGGGAAACCGGGGCUAAUGCCGGAUAACAUUUAGAACCGCAUGGUUCUAUAGUGAAAUAUGGUUUUACUAUCACUUAUAGAUGGACCCGCGCCGUAUUAGCUAGUUGGUAAGGUAACGGCUUACCACGGCAACGAUACGUAGCCGACCGGAGAGGGGGAUAGGCCACACUGGAACUGAGACGCGGUCCAGACGACUACGGGAGGCAGCAGUAGGGAAUCGUACGCAAUGGGCGAAAGCCUGACGGAGCAACGCCGCGUGAGUGAUGAAGGUCUUCGGAUCGUAAAACUCUGUUAUUAGGGAAGAACAAAUGUGUAAGUAACUGUGCACGUCUUGACGGUAACUAAUCAGAAAGCCACGGCUAACUACGUG